CACAUGCAAGUCGAGGGGAAACGACAUCGAAAGCUUGCUUUUGAUGGGCGUCGACCGGCGCACGGGUGAGUAACGCGUAUCCAACCUGCCCAUCACUUGGGGAUAACCUUGCGAAAGUAAGACUAAUACCCAAUGAUAUCUCUAGAAGACAUCUGAAAGAGAUUAAAGAUUUAUCGGUGAUGGAUGGGGAUGCGUCUGAUUAGCUUGUUGGCGGGGUAACGGCCCACCAAGGCAACGAUCAGUAGGGGUUCUGAGAGGAAGGUCCCCCACAUUGGAACUGAGACACGGUCCAAACUCCUACGGGAGGCAGCAGUGAGGAAUAUUGGUCAAUGGACGAGAGUCUGAACCAGCCAAGUAGCGUGCAGGAUGACGGCCCUAUGGGUUGUAAACUGCUUUUAUAAGGGAAUAAAGUGAGUCUCGUGAGACUUUUUGCAUGUACCUUAUGAAUAAGGACCGGCUAAUUCCGUGCCAGCAGCCGCGGUAAUACGGAAGGUCCGGGCGUUAUCCGGACUUAUUGGGUUUAAAGGGAGCGUAGGCCGGAGAUUAAGCGUGUUGUGAAAUGUAGAUGCUCAACAUCUGAACUGCAGCGCGAACUGGUUUCCUUGAGUACGCACAAAGUGGGCGGAAUUCGUGGUGUAGCGGUGAAAUGCUUAGAUAUCACGAAGAACUCCGAUUGCGAAGGCAGCUCACUGGAGCGCAACUGACGCUGAAGCUUGAAAGUGCGGGUAUCGAACAGGAUUAGAUACCCUGGUAGUCCGCACGGUAAACGAUGGAUGCCCGCUGUUGGUCUGAAUAGGUCAGCGGCC
rnacentral:rRNA from 1 species